UGCAACGCGAAGAACCUUACCUGGGCUUGACAUACACCAGAUCGGCGCAGAGAUGCGUUUUUCCCUUGUGGUUGGUGUACAGGUGGUGCAUGGUUGUCGUCAGCUCGUGUCGUGAGAUGUUGGGUUAAGUCCCGCAACGAGCGCAACCCUUGUCUUAUGUUGCCAGCACGUGAUGGUGGGGACUCAUGAGAGACUGCCGGGGUUAACUCGGAGGAAGGUGGGGAUGACGUCAAAUCAUCAUGCCCCUUAUGUCCAGGGCUUCACACAUGCUACAAUGGUCGGUACAACGCGUGUGCGACACUGUGAGGUGAAGCUAAUCGCUCUAAAGCCGGUCGUAGUUCGGAUUGGGGUCUGCAACUCGACCCCAUGAAGUCGGAGUCGCUAGUAAUCGCAGAUCAGCAACGCUGCGGUGAAUACGUUCCCGGGCCUU
rnacentral:rRNA from 1 species